UGCUUGCUUCGGCAGCACAUUACCAAAAUUGGAACAAUACAGAGAUUAGCUUGGCUUCUGUGCAAGGAUGACACACAAAUUCGUGAAGUGGUCCAUAUUUUA